AUACGUAGGGGGCAAGCGUUAUCCAGAUUUACUGGGUGUAAAGGGAGCGCAGACGGAAGAUCAAGUCAGGUGUGAAAGGCAUGGGCUCAACCUGUGGACUGCACUUGAAACUGGUCAUCUCGAGUAUCGGAGAGGCAGGGGGAAUUUUAUGGGUGAGGGGGAAAUGCGUAGAUAUUAGGAGGAACACCAGUGGCGAAGGCGGCCUGCUGGACGACAACUGACGCUGAGGCGCGAAAGCGUGGGGAGCAAACAGGAUUAGAUACCCUGGUAGUCCACGCUGUAAACGAUGAAUACUAGGUGUGGGGGGACUGACCCCCUCCGUGCCGCGGUUAACACAAUAAGUAUUCCACCUGGGGAGUACGAUCGCAAGAUUGAAACUCAAAUGAAUUGGCGGGG
rnacentral:rRNA from 1 species